UACGUACGAGGCGAGCGUUAUCCGGAAUUAUUGGGCGUAAAGCGCGCGCAGGUGGCUCGCUAAGUCGGACGUGAAAUCUCCCGGCUUAACUGGGAGGGUGCGGCGGAAACUGGAAUGCUAGAGGAUGGGAGAGGUAAGCGGAAUUCCUGGUGUAGCGGUGAAAUGCGUAGAUAUCAGGAGGAACACCUGUGGUGUAGACAGCUUACUGGACCAUUUCUGACGCUGAGACACGAAAGCGUGGGUAGCAAACAGG
rnacentral:rRNA from 1 species